GGGAAUGUGGCUUAGUGGUAGAGUGCUUGCCUCACAUGCAUGAAGCCCUGGGUUUGACUCCUCGGUACCA
rfam:Dipodomys ordii contig_60315, whole genome shotgun sequence.